CUCCAAGGCCCGCAGCCGGGGAGAAGGACCGUGAGGCAAAUGUCAGAUGUCGUAGCAGAAGAGGAGAGGGCCGGCUGCCGGAUAAUCCCACCUGGACGGCUGGGAACCUCCCUCGACGACGGAGCAAGACGAACAAAACGAGACAUUCCAGCGGACAGAAAACGUCCGAGAAGAAACGCGUGGUAAAUGUCUGCAACUCAUCAGUGUCCAGGGAAAUCAGGUAUUCACGUCACCCACCCGGCUUUGCCAAGAUCUUUCCCACGUAGGACAGGAAGGCCGACGGCCGCUGCAGCAGGAUUUUGCAUCCUUCUGGAGGGUGUCGCAAACUUUAGACAGGUGAUUUAUUUCUGUUGGCCAGCCAACCCCCAAGAUAUACCUUGAGGCUAACCAGCAAACUUGCUGACCAGGCCAGCCUUAGGGCUUUCAAAGGAGUUUCUCAUGUGGAUAUGAUUCAGCGGAAAUGAUGCACGGAUGCUUCAUUUUCCUAUGGAAAACAGAAUACAACAGCAAUCAACCCAAAUUAAUGGGCUAGCUGUUUUUCAAAAGGGCUCUGCAACCCACAGAGCUCUGCGUGCUAUGGAAGACAGGCGCAGUUCUGACUUCAGCCUUCCUGGUAUUAGAAUGUGAUUUUGAAAUCUGUAGCACUAAUGUCAAAUAGUUGUGUAAUAUUCAGGAAUUCUCCGGAUGGUAAUCUCUCUUCGAAGGUGUUUGGAAAACAGGAGAGUGAAUAAUAGGCCUUUCUUACAAAGACUCAGAUGUAAGAAAUGAUUAGCAUUUAAAUUCAAGUAUUUUUCCAAGAAUUGGACACAAUUGAGCAGAUUAAAAAAAAAAAUCACCUUAAGCAACUGAAAAUAAAUUGUCGUUCUUUCCUGCCUAUGAAGGGAGCUGGAUCAGCUUCACACGGUACCGUUGAUACAGGACCCUAACGCCUUUUACCUAGGUCUUUCAUCUUUUUGCCAUCACAGAAAGUAUAUGGAUACCUUCCUAAAAGUUUGCUGCGUUGAUAAAAUUAUGUUCAACUUCCGGAGCCCUGAACUGCACUGUGCAUUUCUUCAGCCAGCAAGAAGUUGAAGAUACAAGAUGCCUGCGAGAUGCCCAAGCCUUUGACUCAUGAAAAGCCUUCAUAGCUAUAUUGGCCCGUAGGAAAAACAAACUCCACAACUGAAUGUUAUCUUGAUUUAUACUUCAUGAUACCUGGGACAACUGAGUUUUAAAGGACAAGAGACAUGUUCUUCCAGUAAAUAAGACAAAAUGAUUUUCGGGCUUUUGAAUUCUCUCCAUAAAGCUGUUACCAAAACAAGGCCAAACCAGAGUCAAGGUGGACAUAGGAAAGAGGGCUUCCCUCAGUUCUGCAGGCAAAAAACGAUGGCCUGCAGGGCUUCUUGAUCAUGAUGGCAAACCCAAGGGCAUUGGGCUGGCAGAGAAGAGAAGCAGGGAAACACUGCAGUCCAUA